UACGUAGGGGGCAAGCGUUGUCCGGAUUUAUUGGGCGUAAAGAGCGUGUAGGCGGUUUGGUAGGUCCGCUGUGAAAACUCGAGGCUUAACCUCGAGACGUCGGUGGAAACCAUCCAGCUAGAGUCCGGAAGAGGAGAGUGGAAUUCCUGGUGUAGCGGUGAAAUGCGCAGAUAUCAGGAAGAACACCCGUGGCGAAAGCGGCUCUCUGGGACGGUACUGACGCUGAGGAGCGAAAGCGUGGGGAGCGAACAGG
rnacentral:rRNA from 1 species